GAGAGAGAGUGGGCUUUCCGUGCAAUUCAGACACCUGACGGGGAUUCAUCCGCCUAUUAGGUCUUGGAGCACAUGCAAUGACCCAUCUAAAAUAUCAUGGCUGAUCAUGGGCGAUGGUUUAUUUGCUCUGACGUUUUUUUGUUAUCUGUGUACGCCUGCAGUGAUGGGCCACCAUCCCGGCCAACACGAGGAGGUCCCGGUCCCGCUGUUCAAAGAGCGCCUCCGAAACGUCCGUCCGGAUCUGGGCCACCGCCUGCGGCUGCGGACGAACCACCGAGACCUGCUCCGCCGUCGCGGCCAGUACCAAGGCAAAACCGCCCAGCCGCACCUCCGGCCCGUCCUUCUCGGCCAAGCUAAGCACAACACCGCCGAAGACAAGCUUGGCAACGGUCGCUACUAGCGCUGCCCCUCACUGAAUGUAAGAUACAGGGUUGGUGAAAACUGCCAAUGAAUUCCUUUUUCCUUCUCUUUAGCACGGAAUUAUUUGCUGGGUGCCUCCCGGCUUUUACUAGAGAAUGUUGUAUCUGCUCCUUUAUUCUGAUUAUCACAAUACUACGUUAGUGCCUUCAUUUUCUCCUUAGAGCUUGCUUUAUAUUAUCCGUAGACGAGGUUUUUUUCCUCUAGUAAAGGGUUAUCCACGUGAAGUUUUGCUGGUCUGAACAGAAUCUGUAUCUCCCGCCGGCGGCGACUGCCCUUGUCCGUAGGUGGUCUCUCUUGCCGUGUGCAUGAGCGUACCCACCCGCCGCUACUUGCAUCUGACGGUGCUGGUGCAUCGCUUGCAGUAUCGUGCUGUGUCUCCCCUUCUGCUUGUGUAGCUGGGCAUGUUGCCUUUCCGCCAUUAUAGCAUGCCCAUGACUGUACAUGUAUGGCCUUGCCUGUUUUUUGUUGUUUUUCUUUUCUUUUUUGUUGUUGUCUUUUUUGGAUCUCUGGCUGCGCUGGUCGCACAUAGCCGAUGUGAAGAGGUCCCAUUAUGCAUGUUAUCGUUUGUGUUGCUUAUGAUGAUGAGAUCAUGCUUAUGAUGAUGUCACAUCAUUCUUAUGAUAGUGGCAUCCUUCUUAUGAUGAUGCCAUCAUCAUUGUUAUUUUGGAAUUCACCGAGUUGCAUGGUAACGUUAGUGAUGCCAUGAGAGCUUAGAGCAUCAUUGGUAUGUUAUGUCAUUAAAAGUGACGUCGGACCGUGGCA